UACGGGGGGAGCAAGCGUUAAUCGGAAUUACUGGGCGUAAAGCGUGCGCAGGCGGUUUUGUAAGUCCGUCGUGAAAGCCCCGGGCUCAACCUGGGAAUUGCGAUGGAGACUGCAAGGCUUGAAUCUGGCAGAGGGGGGUAGAAUUCCACGUGUAGCAGUGAAAUGCGUAGAGAUGUGGAGGAACACCGAUGGCGAAGGCAGCCCCCUGGGUCAAGAUUGACGCUCAUGCACGAAAGCGUGGGGAGCAAACAGG
rnacentral:rRNA from 1 species